UAGCCGCGUUUACAUGGCAGAUCUAUGCCGCAUAGAUUUCUAUGCGGCAUAGAUCUGUUCCGAAAUGUGAUCCGAAUGAACUGUAUACAUGGCAGUGACAAAAAUGUCCGUUAUGUCCCUCGCGCACACCUGACACAUCUCUGGACCGGCGGCGAGAUAAUGGACGUGUUAUCACUAUCGGGGAUUUUAAAUUUAAUUUUAAUGAAAGCACAGCAGGAGAGAGCUUUUCUCUUCCUGCUCCUUCAAGAAAGAAGGAGGAGGACGGCGCAGCAACGUCAAUUUCUUUUAAGAUCUUUAUAUUUACCCCCAGCUCCGCCGCAAACAAAACGAAUUUGGAUGCGAGUCCGCAGCCAAGACUGGUGGGAGAGAGUGGUCUUGAGAGAAUUUAGUGACCAGGAAUGGCGAGAGAAUUUUAGGAUGAGUCGGCAGUCGUUCAUGAAAUUAUGCGAGCUGAUGAAGACUAUUUCGCCGGAGGAGGUAACUGUGCGAAGAGCAAUACCGUUGGCAAUGAGGGUUGCCAUGGUACUCUACAAGUUGGGCAGCAGCGCCAAAUAUAGGCUGAUCGCUAAUCAGUUCGGGGUGCAUAAAAGCACCGUUAAGAAGUUUGUUCUGCAAAAGUAUGGUGCAAGGACCUAUAAAAGACCUCAUAAGGGUACCAACGGAGGAGGAAGCCCUCUACAUCGCAUCCAGAUUCGAGGCCAGCUACCACUUGCCAAAUGUGAUGGCACACACAUCCCCAUGUUGCCCCCUUCAGAUGGGUACAAAGACUUUGUCAAUCGAAAAGGCUGGCCGUCCUAUGUGCUCCAGGCAGUUGUCGACCACCAAUUUUGGUAAGCACUCUUUUGCUCUUUUUCUCACUCUAUUUUCUGUCUAUAAUAUAAAGGCUGGUUCACAGUGAUAUGCAAGUUAUUUAACGGCUGUGUUUAUCUUUGGCACUCUGCCUAUACGGCCUCGUAACUGCGACCGAAUCACAACCGCGCUGAUAUUCAGCAGCCAACAGCACUCCCUCUCGCGUUUUAUAUUGAUUUCAGCUCUACAACAGUAAUAAGCAACAACCGAUUAUGAUUUGUUUUUUAUUAUUUAAUGAUUUAUUUGGCUCUUCCAACACAAAUAGAAGAUUGUUACAAAGUAAGCUACAUAAAGACCGUAAAUAACAUUAACGGUUAUUAGAACACCUGCAAAAAAAGGUCCCAGUGCUGUUAUAGGCUACUCUAUAUCAGAACUCAUGGAAUACCUCUUGUCAAAUCAAAUUAGGCCUACUUGGUCGGAACUAACUGUUGUAUGCCUAAUUAAAAAUAAUAAUAAAAUAAAUCUUGUUUCCAGCUUCUGGAACAUCAGCUGUAAGAUGCCCGGUAGCGCACACGACGCCAGUGUUCUCCGCAACUCGGAUCUCUUCCAAAAAGCCCAUCUACUGCCUAAGGGUGAUAAAAUCAUCGAGGGAGAGAGCAUCAGGCUAGUCAUUGUUGGGGAUCCUGCAUAUCCGCUCCUUCCGUGGCUGGUUAAAGGACAUCUCAGCUCCCCACGGCUAACUCCAGAGCAGGAAUCUUUCAACGUGUAUCUAAGUUCGCUCCGUGUUGGGGUGGAAAAUACAUUUGGGAUUCUAAAGGCAAGAUGGCGUGUUCUGUUGAAACGUAGUGACUAUCACUUCACAUUCACACCGACUGUCAUCGCAACCUGCUGUGCUUUGCACAAUUUUUGCCAGCUUCAGAGGGAACAUGUAAACUGGUUGGAAGAGGCUGCAACUCCAGACGGAAUCUAUCCUCAGCCU